ACGGUCAUAUCAAUUUGAAACACCCAUUCUCGUACGAUCAUCGAAGUUAAGCAACGACAUGUCUGGUCAGAACAUAGAUGGGUGACCGUUUGGGAAUACCGGGUAGUGU